GGGUUGUGAGGUUAAGUGACUAAGCGUACACGGUGGAUGCCCUGGCAGUCAGAGGCGAUGAAGGACGUGCUAAUCUGCGAUAAGCGUCGGUAAGGUGAUAUGAACCGUCAUAACCGGCGAUUUCCGAAUGGGGAAACCCAGUGUGUUUCGACACACUAUCAUUAACUGAAUCCAUAGGUUAAUGAGGCGAACCGGGGGAACUGAAACAUCUAAGUACCCCGAGGAAAAGAAAUCAACCGAGAUUCCCCCAGUAGCGGCGAGCGAACGGGGAGCAGCCCAGAGCCUGAAUCAGUGUGUGUGUUAGUGGAAGCGUCUGGAAAGGCGCGCGAUACAGGGUGACAGCCCCGUACACAAAAAU
rnacentral:rRNA from 1 species